CGGGAAUGAGUUUUGUAAAUUUUCUACUGUUUCGCGUGGUAUCCCGAUCCCCAUUGCUUGCAUUUUUGUUACGUUAAGCUUGUAGUAUGAUUGUUCCCCAUAUAUUUCUAUUUCCCUCAACAGGUUUGGGAGCGACAGGUGUGGUUGUGUUAGUGUCAGCAGGAUGUCAUCCGCGAAAAGGUUUGCUUUAUAUUCCCUUCUCCCUAUCUCUAGGCUGUGUAUUGCGGGGUUUUCUCUAAUUUUAAUUGCUAUCGGCUCCAGCGCCAACACAUAGAGCAGCGGGGACAGGG